GUUAAAUUAUGUCAUGGGGGUGGAGGAUUCGCGUUCAUUGUGUGUGUGGCAAGGAGGGCAGGCGGUGGGAGGCUUAUCUGGUGUGCACAGCCCUCAUCAUCUCCUUACAUGAUGGAGGCUCAGCCAAUUCAGCCUUUGUAUAUACAGUACCUGUGCUGAUAUUGGGUCUGUGAAGAAUCAGCAGCUUCAAGUGCAUCAUCACAAAACAUGAAUACCUGAAAUUAAAGUGAAGGUGUUCUUCUUGACUCAUGAAACCUCCCUGUUACCUACCCUCCUGCAUUUUUGUGUGGCCUGGUACUGUAUUAAACAGCUUCUCUUCAGGUAAACUGCUUGGUAAUGGAGUAAACAAUCUUUGCAGAGAACACAUAAACAAACCCAAACCAGUCAUCCUGCCUUUAUUUGGAAAUGUUAGUUUAACAUUACACUCUGCCUUUGAAAUGAAAAAAUUAAAUUGUGAUCCGGCAUAAGGAAGAGCUUUGGGUCAUACCCAAGUAAACCCACUCUGUUGACCUGUCAUUGAUUUAUGAGUUCAGCUUUAAUGGGAGGCCCCCCCUGCGUGCCUGUACAUACACAUUUUGAAUGACUGGUACAAAGAGACAAUGAGCAAAGUACAGCUUAAGGACUUAAAGAGAAAUGUUGGAGAGUAUAAAUGAAAAGAAAGUAUUAUAUGGCAAUUUCUAUGCUUUUCUUCUACAUAUUUAAAGGUGGCUGUCAUCCAUCAUAGCAAAAUAAUCACUGGUAUUCACUGAAAGCAAUGCAGUGAUUAACAUGGGGCAGCAUUUACAGCCCGCUAGGUAUUCAGAACAGCUGCUAUUACGUGCAUCCCCCUAUCAUGAUUGGGUAAAUGGAGAUAGAGCAAACAUUGUGAUGAGCACAGAGAAGUUCCUCAUCAUUUCAGCUGUUGCGGAGAAAAGUUUGUGUCCCCAUUAGCUGUAUAUGAAUCCCAGGCAUGUGUGAAGCUUUUGGGCAGUGAUUGUUUUUCCUUAAAGGAGAAAGAAAAGGUUAAAACUAAAUAAGCCUUAUCAGAAAGGUCCUCCUAAAUACACCAGUAAACAUUCAAAGUAAUGUUGCUUUGAGUCCUC